rnacentral:rRNA from 1 species
AAAGGAAUUGACGGGGACCCGCACAAGCAGCGGAGCAUGUGGUUUAAUUCGAAGCAACGCGAAGAACCUUACCUGGACUUGACAUCCCUGUGACCGUUUUUUAAUCGAAACCUUCCCUUCGGGGACACAGGAGACAGGUGGUGCAUGGUUGUCGUCAGCUCGUGUCGUGAGAUGUUGGGUUAAGUCCCGCAACGAGCGCAACCCCUGUUUUUAGUUGCCAGCAAGUGAAGUUGGGCACUCUAAAGAGACUGCCAAGGUAAACUUGGAGGAAGGUGGGGAUGACGUCAAAUCAUCAUGCCCCUUAUGUUCAGGGCUACACACGUGCUACAAUGGCCGAUACAACGGGCAGCGAAAGAGCAAUCUGGAGCAAAUCCUAAAAAAUCGGUCCCAGUUCGGAUUGUGGGCUGCAACUCGCCCACAUGAAGUCGGAGUUGCUAGUAAUCGCGAAUCAGCAUGUCGCGGUGAAUGCGUUCCCGGGUCUUGUACACACCGCCCGU